rnacentral:tRNA from 1 species
CUGUCGAUAGCUCAACUGGUAGAGCGGUCGACUGUAGAUCCAUAGGUCGGUGGUUCAAUUCCGCCUCGACGGA